GGGCGUAAGCGCAUGCAGGUGGUUCAUUAAGUCAGAUGUGAAAGCCCGGGGCUCAACCUCGGAACUGCAUUUGAAACUGGUGAACUAGAGUGCUGUAGAGGGGGGUAGAAUUUCAGGUGUAGCGGUGAAAUGCGUAGAGAUCUGAAGGAAUACCAGUGGCGAAGGCGGCCCCCUGGACAGACACUGACACUCAGAUGCGAAAGCGUGGGGAGCAAACAGGAUUAGAUACCCUGGUAGUCCACGCCGUAAACGAUGUCUACUUGGAGGUUGUGGCCUUGAGCCGUGGCUUUCGGAGCUAACGCGUUAAGUAGACCGCCUGGGGAGUACGGUCGCAAGAUUAAAACUCAAAUGAAUUGACGGGGGCCCGCACAAGCGGUGGAGCAUGUGGUUUAAUUCGAUGCAACGCGAAGAACCUUACCUACUCUUGACAUCCAGAGAAGCCAGCGGAGACGCAGGUGUGCCUUCGGGAACUCUGAGACAGGUGCUGCAUGGCUGUCGUCAGCUCGUGUUGUGAAAUGUUGGGUUAAGUCCCGCAACGAGCGCAACCCUUAUCCUUGUUUGCCAGCGAGUAAUGUCGGGAACUCCAGGGAGACUGCCGGUGAUAAACCGGAGGAAGGUGGGGACGACNUCAAGUCAUCAUGGCCCUUACGAGUAGGGCUACACACGUGCUACAAUGGCGCAUACAGAGGGCAGCAAGCUAGCGAUAGUGAGCGAAUCCCAAAAAGUGCGUCGUANUCCGGAUUGGAGUCUGCAACUCGACUCCNUGAAGUCGGAAUCGCUAGUAAUCGUGAAUCANAAUGUCACGGUGAAUACGUUCCCGGGCCUUGUACACACCGCCCGUCACACCAUGGGAGUGGG
rnacentral:rRNA from 1 species